CCUACGGGCGACAGCAGUGAGGAAUAAUGGUCAAUGGGCGCGAGCCUGAACCAGCCAAGUAGCGUGAAGGAUGACUGCCCUACGGGUUGUAAACCUCUUUUAUCAAGGAAUAAAGUGAGGCACGUGUGCCUUUUUGUAUGUACCUUAUGAAUAAGGAUUGGGUAACUCCGUGCCAGCAGCCGCGGUAAUACGGAGGAUCCGAGCGUUAUCCGGAUUUAUUGGGUUUAAAGGGAGCGUAGAUGGGUUGUUAAGUCAGUUGUGAAAGUUUGCGGCUCAACCGUAAAAUUGCAAUUGAUACUGGCAGCCUUGAGUGCAGUUGAGGUAGGCGGAAUGCGUGGUGUAGCGGUGAAAUGCUUAGAUAUCACGAAGAACUCCGAUUGCGAAGGCAGCUUACUAAACUGCCACUGACAUUGAUGCUCGAAAGUGUGGGUAUCGAACAGGAUUAGAUACCCCUGUAGUC
rnacentral:rRNA from 1 species